rnacentral:lncRNA from 1 species
AAUUGUUACGUGCAUUUGCACGUACAUUCAACUAAGUAUUUGAAAAGAUCAAAAAUCAAAAUAUUUUUUAUACCCCUAAUUUAAGGGCUAAAAAGAGAAGCCGGUGAUGAUAGAAGCAUAUAUAUUUGAAAGAGUAAAAUAGUAAUUUUAUAAAGAUAACAGUUAUUGGUAACAAUUCAUUAAUAAAAUUUAACUCUAAAAAUAUAUUUGAAAUAGGUUAAACCAUAAAAAAGUAUUUUUAAUAUUAA